GCGGAAACUGAACUCGUCUGUUCAUGGAAGGGAAGCCUGCACCCUCCCUGGAAUACACCUGCUGAGUCUGAGACCAGCCCAAGGAAGUUACUUUGGUUGUUUGUCAACAACCUUAACAACACUGUCAGUAUGAAUGACUUCUGUUCAAGAGGCCGAACCCUGCCAUGUUGGAGAUCACCCGGCGCUCUCAGUCUCCCUCAGCUGCCAGGUGUAGAGGCCUCUUUACGAAUGACUGGAGGAGAUCUUGUUCCUCGGCUGGCUAAUGCCACUUUAAGUGAAGCCAGCCUGCCGUGUGACCCCCGGCUUGUCAUUUUAAUGGAUCUCUGGGCAGAAGCUAUAAAAGGAGGCACCGUGUUUGGAGUCGACAUCUAAGAUAGUCACAAGCAGACAUGAUUAAUAGGAAGCUUUUAGCUUCUACAGAAGGUCGUUCUUCUUAAAAGUGGACUGCUAAAGGCUUUCAGCACAAACUACCUUGUAAAAUGACAUAGGCUUGAGUUGAAGAAACUCUCUGACGACCUCCUCCACUCCCCUUGAAGCUCAGAAGAUGGAAGCGGAAAUUCCGGCCGACGAGCAAAAAUUUACAUCUCUGGCUUUUGUCUCGGUUAUAUUUCAGUUUAAUAAUUGGCAAUGACUCGCCAACCAUUUGAAGAGAAACACAAGUGACUGCUUUUUUGGGUCAUCUGAGAAGAGGGAAUCUUAACUGAGAAAAUGCGUCCUUCAGAUCCGCCAAGGAGAUUUCCUCAUGAGAUUUUCUGCCUGGUGUGACUCUCGUCGGUCGGAAGAAGCCAACAAGAAAAGAAGCAACGAAGAGAAGGAACAAUGAAGAGAAGAAGGAAGAGAAGGCGUGGGUUGGGGCUCCCAAGCUCCUCAUCUCAGCUGGGGAUACCCUUCCCUGGGAGCUGCAGCGCCUCUUCUGAGGAGGCUUCCUCUCAGCUGUGUGGUUCCUGAG
rnacentral:lncRNA from 1 species